rnacentral:sRNA from 1 species
AUAUUUACUAUUAAUUCAAUCAUUUUGCAUUUCUCUACUAACCAGUGUUAUAAUCUAGAUAACGAAAAUGAUUAACAAUUAAUGCACCAAUCCCCACACUAUUGCAGUAGUGUGGGGAUUU